GAAAACUAUGGGGAUUGGUGGGUUGGAAAGCUUUUCCCUUCUGAUUGAUUAAACGCUUUCCAAUUCCACCCAUUCCUAUGGUUUUUCA
rnacentral:pre_miRNA from 1 species